UAAAAAAUACUAAUUGUUAUUUACUGUUGGGAACAACUUGUAAACAAUUUCCAAUAUGUAAAAAUAAGAUUAUUUUUAAUUUUCACAGAAUUUAUUAUUAAUUUCAUAGAUUAAUUUUGUUUAUAUUUAUUAUAUAUUUUUAUUUUAAUCAUUAUUAUAAUUUCAAAUAAUAUAAAUUUAUCAAUUAAUGUAACUAUUCUCAUUGUUUUGUUUAUGUAAACAAUGUUUAUUGCAGAAGACUACCUCCGGUGAAAUUAGUUUCAGUAUUUAAAAUUGGUGGCGCUUUACCGGAAACAUCAUGACGCCAUUUUCUGAUUUUGGCAGUGAAGAGUGAAGACUGCACUAUUUGUUUUGUUCAAUUUGUUUCUAUUAAUUUUAAUGAUUUUACUCGAAAACUGGACGAUAGUUAUUCUUCGUUAAUUCAGGAAAAAUUGACUAAAGCUGUUCAUAAUGUAAUUUGGGUUGAACGUUGGGAAUUUAAAUACCGGUUUCUCGUCCAUCAAAUCAAAUGACCUAACGUAAUAACGAGGGCACUUUUGCUAUUAGAAAAUAAGAAAUACAAUAGGUUCAGAGGGCAAAAAGUCUAUGACACAGUAGCAGCUGGCCAGGUGUAUGGGGUAUGAUUAUCGGAAAGAAUCUGAGCCAUCGCUAUGAAAGCAUAAACCAUGAAGGAAGAAAGUCAUCCAUAUAAUAAAACGAAACGAGCUCUUCGAGAUUAUAAAAAAGGCACCCGUUGACAGAAUAAUGAUAAUGAUGACAAAGGAGAUUUUAUACGUGUGUGUGUAUGUGUGUCUCAUCCCAGGAGCUCUAUAAUAAAGACCUACUUUUAUAAUAAGAUUCUAUCCUCGAUGGAUUGUGGUGCCACAUAUUUCAAAGAUAAGGGCAAAAGUAAAAAAGGUUAUCUUAAAGGACACCGAAUUCUUCAUUAUUCAGACUUUUUAUAACUCGGUCUAUUUUUACGGUUAUUUUUCACAUUUUAUGAAUGGAAAUUUGAUUUGAAAGUAGGGAUCUCCGAGGGCUAUUUAAUUUGAAAGAAUCUCAUUGAAGCUGAAAAUUCGUUAUUAAGGUAUUCAUACUUUUGAUUUGGUACAAGAAAUGUCGAGUAGAUUCUGUAAGGAAGGAACCUUUUUUGGAAUACUUCAUACUUUUGGUUUGAUACGAGGAAUGUCGAGUAGAUUCUGUAAGGAAGGAAUCUUUUUUGGAAAUUUGAGGAAUGCAGCGGUAUCAAAAAAUUAUUUAACAGGUUCUCUCUCGCAGCCGACUGUCAACCGGUUUCCAUCGCGUUUCAUUAAUUCCGCGAACUGAACUUGGCCCAGGUUCCUGGACCGGCGAUUUUUGGCAGAAACGAAUUGGCACGAAGAAUCCAAAGAGCCAUAACAAGUUUACACGCUGUAUUACAAGAGCGUGUUAUUGACCUGAAGAAGAUGGGAACAAAAUCAGGCUCAACGAAAAAG